AGGGGAGCUUCCCAUACGGGUUGAAGCAUGACCGUAAGGACAUGUGGACAGUAUGGGAGUGAGAAUGUUGGCAUGAGUAGCGAGAUGUGGGUGAGAAUCCCACAGGCCGUAAACCCAAGGUUUCCAGGGGAAGGUUCGUCCGCCCUGGGUUAGUCGGAACCUAAGCUGAGGCCGAAAGGCGUAGGUGAUGGACAACAGGUUGAUAUUCCUGUACUACCGAUAACCAUUUGAGAGAAGGGAUGACACAGUAGGAUAAGCUAAGCACACUGUUGGUUAUGUGUGCCCAAGCAUUGAGGCAGUCAAAGUAGGCAAAUCCGCUUUGAUAAUGCUGGGAUGUGAUGGGGAGCGAAAUUUAGUAGCGAAGUAGCUGAUUUCACACUGUCAAGAAAAGUCUCUAUCGAG
rnacentral:rRNA from 1 species